rnacentral:rRNA from 1 species
AUUGAACGCUGGCGGCAUGCUUUACACAUGCAAGUCGAACGGCAGCGGGGGCUUCGGCCUGGCGGCGAGUGGCGAACGGGUGAGUAAUGCAUCGGAACGUGCCCAGUCGUGGGGGAUAGCCCGGCGAAAGCCGGCUUAAUACCGCAUCCCACCUGAGGGUGAAAGCGGGGGACCGAAAGGCCUCGCGCCAUUUGAGCGGCCGAUGUCGGAUUAGCCAGUUGGUGGGGUAAAGGCUUACCAAGGCGGCGAUCCGUAGCUGGUCUGAGAGGACGACCAGCCACACGGGGACUGAGACACGGCCCAGACUCCAACGGGAGGCAGCAGUGGGGAAUUUUGGACAAUGGGGGCAACCCUGAUCCAGCCAUGCCGCGUGCGGGAAGAAGGCCUUCGGGUUGUAAACCGCUUUUGUUCGGGAAGAAAUCCUCUGGGCUAAUACCCCGGGGGGAUGACGGUACCGGAAGAAUAAGCACCGGCUAACUACGUG